CGUCCGUCGUGAAGAGGGAAACAACCCAGACCGCCAGCUAAGGUCCCAAAGUCAUGGUUAAGUGGGAAACGAUGUGGGAAGGCCCAGACAGCCAGGAUGUUGGCUUAGAAGCAGCCAUCAUUUAAAGAAAGCGUAAUAGCUCACUGGUCGAGUCGGCCUGCGCGGAAGAUGUAACGGGGCUAAACCAUGCACCGAAGCUGCGGCAGCGACACUAUGUGUUGUUGGGUAGGGGAGCGUUCUGUAAGCCUGUGAAGGUGGCCUGUGAGGGUUGCUGGAGGUAUCAGAAGUGCGAAUGCUGACAUAAGUAACGAUAAAGCGGGUGAAAAGCCCGCUCGCCGGAAGACCAAGGGUUCCUGUCCAACGUUAAUCGGGGCAGGGUGAGUCGACCCCUAAGGCGAGGCCGAAAGGCGUAGUCGAUGGGAAACAGGUUAAUAUUCCUGUACUUGGUGUUACUGCGAAGGGGGGACGGAGAAGGCUAUGUUGGCCGGGCGACGGUUGUCCCGGUUUAAGCGUGUAGGCUGGUUUUCCAGGCAAAUCCGGA
rnacentral:rRNA from 1 species